rnacentral:rRNA from 1 species
UACGGAAGGGGCAAGCGUUGUUCGGAAUCAUUGGGCGUAAAGGGCGCGUAGGUGGUUCUGUAUGUCUACCGUGAAAGCGUACGGCUCAACCGUAUUUUGUCGGUAGAAACUGCAGGACUUGAGGCUGGGAGGGGCUGGUGGAAUUCCCUGUGUAGCGGUGAAAUGCGCAGAUAUCAGGAGGAACACCGGUGGCGAAGGCGGGAUCCUGGGCCAGUACUGACGCUGAGGAGCGAAAGCGUGGGGAGCGAACAGG